AGCUUCAGCUAGAUGUGCAGUGAA
rnacentral:siRNA from 1 species